rnacentral:miRNA from 1 species
CAUAACUUGUGUCUCUUAGAU